AGCGAACGCUGGCGGCAGGCUUAACACAUGCAAGUCGAGCGGGCACUUUCGGGUGCCCGCGGCGGACGGGUGAGUAACGCGUGGGAACGUGCCCUCUGGUUCGGAAUAACUCAGGGAAACUUGAGCUAAUACCGGAUACGCCCUUUUGGGGAAAGGCUUGCUGCCGGAGGAUCGGCCCGCGUCUGAUUAGCUAGUUGGUGAGGUAACGGCUCACCAAGGCGACGAUCAGUAGCUGGUCUGAGAGGAUGAUCAGCCACACUGGGACUGAGACACGGCCCAGACUCCUACGGGAGGCAGCAGUGGGGAAUAUUGGACAAUGGGCGCAAGCCUGAUCCAGCCAUGCCGCGUGAGUGAUGAAGGCCUUAGGGUUGUAAAGCUCUUUUAUCCGGGACGAUAAUGACGGUACCGGAGGAAUAAGCCCCGGCUAACUUCGU
rnacentral:rRNA from 1 species